ensembl:snRNA U6 U6 spliceosomal RNA
GUGCUCGCUUGGGCAGCACAUCUCCUAAAAUUGGAACGCCCCAGAGAGGAUUGGCAGGGCCUCUGCACAAGGAUGACGUGUACAUUUAUGAAACAUCCAUUUUUUUC